UUUAUAUUCACUUAUAUUUAUAGUAUGACAGACAAAUUCAUAUGAUACUAAUCUAAACGGGCUCAAAGUGACGAAUUUGAAUGGUUUCCUUUCAUAGCCAGUUUUCUAGUCAAUCAAGUCAAUAGUCAAUUAAAUACCUGAAUUCUAUGUUCUCUUCUUUCACUACAUUUACUGCUACUGAGAGCACCAGCUACAGGCAAGCUGCCAGCUCAUUCUAAGAGAAUGUAAGCUCCAUAAGAGCAGGAACCUUAACAGCCUUGCUGACCAAUGAAUCUCCGGUACUUGAAUCAUCAGAAUACCUGACACGCUGCAGGUGAUUAUGAAAUACUUGUGAAAUGAAGAAAGAAUGCAUCCACUUCCUACCAAGAACCAGGCUGAGAUAACUGGUAAAUACGUCAGUUCAUACAAGAUACAAAUAAUCUUUUAACUUCCUUCAGUGAUCUAAACUCUGAUCUUGAUAAAACUAUAUUACUAGAAACUACAUCCUUGGACCACCUUAAACAAGUGAAUUGCAUAUCACUUUCACUGUGUUACAUUAUUCACUGUGUUACAUCUUAAUGUUACUGGAGUUCACGACUUCAAUAAAAAUACUGAUGUUGUUUAUAUAGCUUUUAUUGAUUGUUGUUUAUGUAGAUUUUAUUUACACAGGGUCUGUCAUGAGAAAUUCCUUUAAUUUACUGCUAGGGAGAGUUUAACUUCCUCUGAAGAAUUGGUAUAUGAUUUUUUUUUUCAUUCUAUCACUAAAAAGCAUAUUGGCUUGAAGCUUAGUCAUAGCAAGCAUGUUGAUACUUAUUAUUGCCAUAUUUACAUUCUCUAAUUUCUUUGUGUUAACUUUCAUAUGUAUUUUAUCAUUUUGUUAAUUUUUCUUUUCUUUUCUUUUUUUUUUUUUUUUGAGACAGAGUCUCACUCUGUCAUCCAGGCUGGAGUUCAGUGGUGCGAUCUCAGCUUGCUGCAACCUCCGCCUCCUGGGUUCAAGUGAUUCUCCUGCCUCAGCCUCCCGAGUAGCUGGGAUUACAGGUGCACGCCACCACGCCCAGCUAAUUUUUGUAUUUUUAGUAGAGACAAGGUUUCACUGUGUUGAUCAGGCUGGUCUCGAACUCCUGACCUUGUGAUCCACCUGCCUCAGCUUCCCAAAGUGCUGGGAUUACAGGCAUGAGCCACUGUGCCCGGCUCAUUUUGUUGGUUUUGUAGAUGUUAAAAUAAUGAUGAUAUCCAUUUUUUUUUUUUUUUUUUUUUUUGAGGCAGAGUGUCGCUCUGUUGCUCAGGCUGGAGUGUAGUGGCGCAAUCUCGGCUCACUGCAAGCUCUGCCUCCCAGGUUCAUGCCAUUCUCCUGCCUCAGCCUCCCAAGUAGCUGGGACUACAGGUGCCCGCCACCACGCCCGGCUAAUUUUUUGCAUUUUUAGUAGAGACAGGGUUUCACCGUGUUAACCAGGAUGGUCUCGAUCUCUUGACCUCGUGAUCUGCCUGCCUUGGCCUCCCAAAGUGCAGGGAUUACAGGCGUGGGCCACCGUACCUGGCAAUCUCCACUUUAACUGAAGAUGCUAUCUCAGACAUUUUAGGGUAAGAGUGUUACAGUAUCAAACAACUUGCAAAUCCCAGUGGCUUGCAACUCCUGUUCAUGCCACAUGUCUGUGUCAUGAACUCUGUGUCAUGGUUCAGCUCUGCUCCACAUUGUCUUCCAUCUGGGAUCCAGCCUGAAGGAGCAGCCUUCUCAUGGAAAUGGCCAAGGAAAAAGUACAUGUGGUACAAUCACAAAAUUGCUCUCAAAGCUUCUGCUUAGAAUGCACAUCAAUCAAGACACACAACCAAGUCUGGUGUCAAGGGUGGGAAUAUUUAAUCUUCCUACAAAUGAGGACAGUGUAGUUCUAACAAUAAUACAACAGCAUAGAUGACGGUCUCUAUCAAAGAAAGCUGUGAUUAACAUCAAAUGGUAAAAGAAUCUAUAGUACCUGCCUCUGCUUACUGAGCACCUACCAGGUACAAGGCAUUGAAUGAGACAUUUCAGGCAUAAUACUUCUAAUUCUGACAACUCUUUAAAGUAGGGGGAAUUCCUUACCAACAAGGAAAUUGAAGCACAGGAAUAUUAAGUUAUGCAGUGUGGAAGUGGUCAAGCAG
rnacentral:lncRNA from 10 species